AACGUAGGAGACAAACGUUAUCCGGAGUUACUGGGCGUAAAGAGCUCGUAGGCGGCUUGUCGCGUUGUCCGUGAAAAUUUACAGCUCAACUGUGAACUUGCGGGCGAUACGGGCAGACUAGAGUGCGGUAGGGGAGACUGGAAUUCCUGGUGUAGCGGUGAAAUGCGCAGAUAUCAGGAGGAACACCGGUGGCGAAGGCGGGUCUCUGGGCCGUAACUGACGCUGAGGAGCGAAAGCGUGGGGAGCGAACAGG
rnacentral:rRNA from 1 species